GGGCUCGUAGCUCAGCUUGGCUGGAGCGUUCGACUGAUAAUCGAAAGGUCAUGUGUUCGAAUCACAUCGGGCCCAUUU
rnacentral:tRNA from 1 species